rnacentral:tRNA from 1 species
GCCCGGGUGGCGGAAUUGGUAGACGCAAGGGACUUAAAAUCCCUCGCCUUAACAGGCGUGCCGGUUCGAUUCCGGCCCCGGGCACCA